CCAUCAUGCUGACCUAUUGUUCCUUUUCACUUUAACUAUAUGUAUGCUGUGCUUCUUAGCAGUGCACCAGAGAUAUAAUAAUUUUUUUCUCUUCUUUGCAAGGCACAGCUGAAAAAUUGGACCCAACAGUAUUCUGUCUCAAAAGCUUGUAUAAUCUCACCUCAUUGUUAGUGUAAUAUAAAGAGUCUUCUGGAUAAUUUUGCAUUUCACUAAUGUUAAUUCUAAUCUUUCAUUAAACUGCCUUUGUAAUCUAAACUUCUAAUGGAAAUUUAGAAAUAUUUCACCACCUGCAUAUUUUCAGAACCAUAGCUAUUAGAUCAGAAUUGAUAGCUUCUUGCACAGGCAUGAAGAAUUCUUUGAACAUUUAUGCUAAUUGAAAUGGGGUUUUUUAAUUUUAAAAUUUGAACUACAUAAUAUUUUCAUUUUAUGUUUAGAAAUGAGAUUCUCACUAAUCUUUUGCUUUCUAGAAAAGGCACAAGUUCCUUAAAGAAAGUUUUUUUAACAUGAAAGUAAACCUGACUAGUCUUAAUGUUACCAAGAGUUAGGAAACACCAUCAGGACCUCCACACGGGGCAGGAACAAAAUGUUUGGAGAUGUUUAGAAUAGCAAAAAGGAGUCAUGAGAGGAUAUAGAAUCUGUGACUAGAGCAGAGAAGUGAAUCAGAUGUGAGGCCAGUAUGUGAAAGCCUCAGCAGUAUCACUGGUUUCUUUCAUUGAAGAGGCACCAUAACACAGAUGUGGAACAAGUGCUCAAAACAGAAUGCAUAGCUGUGGUGGUUUUCUGCUUCACUUUUGUGAAGCUUAGCUUUUUUAUUUUUCUUUGCUCCUUCUUGGGCAGAUGGACCACAUUGGCCCCAUUUGGUAUCAGGUUCGCUUGGGAGAGGAGGAAGGAACGUAGGAGAUGUGGUUCCGUGGAGUGUGAAGUUGCAGAUGUGGGCAGGCAGGAAGAUAAGAUUAGGAGAGCAGUGCACAUUCCCUGAGGCAUUCAUUGUGUAUGCUGCUGCUGGUAGUAAUAUAAGCAGAUGCUGCUACUCAUUCAUGUCUCAGGUCCUGGGUUCUGCAUUGUGAAAGCUCUGUAACAGAUGCUCAGCAAAAAAUAUUCCUCAAGAGGAAGGGCUGUGACAAACCUAAGCACCGAUCUGUUAAUGCUGUGGUCCAAAGUGACUCUGGCCUCAUAAUCUUGCGAUUUUUUGAACAGACAUGCCAGGAAUUAGACUUUCUUUAAAAAUGUGCACUAAAAAUUUACAUAAAAUGGAUGCCAAAAGUAAAAAAAAAAAAAAAAAAAAAAGGCCAAAAAUUUGGGCAAAGAUGGAUGUUAUUCUUCUCAAGCUGCAUCAAAUUCACACUUGAGCUUAGAGCUUAAUUGUACUUAAUGGCUCAGAAGGAGGCUCUAGUCUUAGUGACUGACAGAAACCCAGUGACUGUAACUAUUAAAAAUAAAUUUUUAGAUUGAGUCCAAUUUGAAUUAGAAUAAGCAAUCUCUUAUUUUCUGAUUAAGUGAUGAGGGUUUUAAUGAGCUCAGACACAGGGAUGAGUUAGUGGCCAUUCUUUAGAACAGAGUCCAAUGGUUAUGAUAUAAUAUUUUGGUGCUCAACACAUACAGUUUAAAUAUGAGUCUAAUAAAUGGUUUCUACUCCUUGCAUGAUCAAUGGAGAGAUUCCAGGUAAUUCCAAGGAUGUUUAACUUCCUGUAGACACUAUAGUAUAUUUCCAAGGGUAUUUUGUCUUAAAACAUAUAAAAUUAACAGUAUGUUAAUAAUUCUAGAAGCCCUUAAAUAUUAAAAUUUCUUUCCAAAUUAUGGAGAAUCUUUGUUUAAUAAUGAUGGGAAAGUAACAAGUUCAUAUUUCUGUUGCUAGAGUGCCCCUAUCAGAAAUUGCUUAAUUUCCUAAUUUAUGGAAAGUCUCACAAAUCUUCAUCCCUUGGAGCCUUGAAGUAUCUGGCUGUGUUCUGUCAAUUACUGCAUCUCAUGUUGCCAUUGAUGUAGUAAGAGAUUAAAUCACAUUUUUUGAUGGUUUAUUCUAAUGUUAGCUUUAGCUUUGUAAAGAUGAUGUGAAUCUAUUACAUGUACAGUUUGGGUAAGGUUUUGCUGAACGACACUUGCUGCUCAAACAGCAAAACAGUACAUUAAUAGUCAUCAUACAUUAUGUUCUCAAGCUAAUCUGUUCAUAGGAUUUCAGCUGAAGAUUGCUUAGCUUCUCAGUCAGGCUUUAAUUACUUCAGAGGCUUACAAGGAAUCUAUGAAUCUAAUAAUUCAGGGUGCUUGAAACUGGAUUAUUCAAGGAUUAUUGGUUGUCUGCAGUUACUUGUAAUUAGCCACCUGAUCUGGGCUUUUUCUGUCUGUAGGGGAGAGAACCUAGCUGUCUUAAUAUUGCACAGGACUGAGACUCAAGUCCUGUUAGCUUAGCUCUCUGAGUUGCUUGUAGUGCAUGCUUUAAAAGGCAUUUGAUUUAUCUGUGUGUAAAUUUCUCUGUUGGUAGUAAUGGAGACCACAAUGAUAAACCUUCUCUGGGAAACAUUUUGUGAGUAUUGAGAAAAUCUCUGCAUAGGACCAAGAACUUUUUUGUCAUAUCUAGUUAGCAGAAACAGAUAAACUAGGACAAACUUUGAAACAGAGAAAAUAAAUAGCACAAUAAACUUAAUCUAUAUAAACUAUUCUUGAUAAGAAAUUAAUAUCAAUGUUAAUGAGGCCAAACUCAAUUAGGGUACAGUUAGUAUCAAAAAUAUUUUUAGCUGCUGCUCUGAGCUUUAUUUAUGCAUCUAUCACUAUAUGAGAAUCACAAAUAUUGUGCACUAAAUCAGUAUUAGGCAUAAAUUUUAUAAGAACCCAGCAUGUAUAAGAUACCGCUGAUGCUCUUUCAUAGCAUAUAUUUAUAACUUGAAAAAACAGUCACUGCUGUAGUAUAUGCACUGUAUGCAAACUAUUAGGUUCAGUGACUCUUUCUAACAUUUUAGGUAGAAGUACCUCAGUAAUGAAGCAAGGAAAAGGGGUAUCUGAUCCCAGCUGAACUGUUGAUGUACAACAGAAUUUUCUUUAACUAUGAGGCUGUCUAUUCACUGAGGGAAAGUACCUAUUAUUUGCUGCACAACUGUCUUACCAAACACACUGCCAAUUUUUUGUCUGUAUUAGAUGUAAAAACACAUAAAGCUACCUGAUAUCUUCCGAGGAAUAGAUAAGCUUGGCUGUCUGCUUGAAACUAUUUAAUUGUGUGUUUAGAAUUUUUGAAAUGACAAAGGACAGAGGAUAGUCAAUUAAACAGAUGUAGCACUUGAAGCCAAGAAGGCAAUUACUUAUUUUUCAGUGAUUCAAGCUACCAGCUUGCCAAAAUAUAGAGUAAUAUCAUCUUCUGAAACAAAAUAUUUUUUUCUCUGAGCAUUUAAAAAUUAAUCCUUGUUCUUUCUUAUGGUGUUAAUCCUCUUUGGCUAGUUUAGUCUCUUCUUUCUCAGUGUCUAAGCAGAAUUUAAUAAAAGCAAUAGAUUACACAACGAUAACAUGUAUCUUGUUAUUUAUGAUGUUUUUAAAGCAUGUACUACAUGUAUUUAUUCUCCAAUAGCUCUCCUAGUUUAAUUGCAUAAUUCAUUACAGAUACUGGCUUUACAUCUUCUGGAGAAAAAUUAUGAAGCUGUGUAAAGGAAAAAAAAAUCUGUCAAAAUGGAAUCACAGAAUAAUAGCAUCAUAGAGUAUAAAGUUGGAAGGGACCCAUAAGGAUCACCAAGUCCAACUCUUUGAUCCUUGCAGGACUUCCUAAAAUUACAUCAUAUGGCUACGAGUAUUUUCCAGACACUUCCCUGGGGAGACUCUUCCAGUGAUUGGCAACUUCCUCAGUGGAGAACCUUUUCCUAGUGUCCAACCUGAAUUUCCUCUGAUGAAGCUUUAUUCCAUUUCCUCCUGUCCUAUCACUGGUCAGCAGAGAGCAGUGGUCAGCAUCUACCCCUCCACUUACCCUUCUGGGGUAGUUGUAGUAACUGCAGUGAGGUCUUCCUCAGUCUUCUCUUCCUCGGUCCAACAAACCAAGUGACCUUAGCCAGUCUUCAUAUGGCUUCCCCUCCAGACCCUUCAGCAUCUUCUAGACCUCCUUUGGAUGCUCUAUAAGAGCUUUAUAUCCUUUGAGGCAUCUAAAACUGCCCCCAACACUCGAGGUGAGGCCACCCCAGUGCAGAGCAGUGUGGGAUAAUCCCCUCCCUUGCCCGGCUGCUGAUGCUGUGCCUGAUGCCCCCCAGGCUCCAGGGCACUGCUGACUCAUAUUCAGCUUGCCAUUGACCAGGACUUCCAGGUCAUUAUCUGUGAGGCUGCUCUCUGGCCUCUCAUUCCCCAGUUUCUAUGUACAACCAGGAUUUUUCAAUCCCAGGUGGAGAAUCCAGCACUUGCUCUUGCUAAAUUUUAUGCAUCCAUGUAAAAUUGUUGAAGGCUCAAGAAGAUUAGACUUCCAGAGUUUAAACUGUGAAUUGCAAUUGUCUAGGAUAAGAUUUCUGUCUGGAUAGUCUAUGGAUAUUUUGCAUGGGAUGUGAUAACUGACUCUUGUAUCCCUAAUGAAUACUACAUUAAAGAAACAUUUUCUGUCUUAAACACUAGAAGUGUCUGUUGCCUUUGUGUUGUGUCAUCACAUAAACCUAAACUUUAGUUCUCUUUAUAAUGAAACAAAAAAUUUUCAUCUAUUUUGCAUGUUACAGAGUGACAAAUAUGUCAAUUAAUGUAAAGAUUUAAAAGUCUGUCUUGUGCAAAUAUGUUGUGGGCUUGGAAUAGUCAUAGGAACUUGAUUUCUUUUUAGGUACCAAACAAGUGGCAAAUACAGAUACUUCCAUUCAGAAAAUUUACAAUUCAACUGUAAGACUACAGAUAAGAAAAUAAAUUCUGAGAGGACCAGAGGGGCAUAAUGCUAGUAUGAAUAACUGCAGUCACAGCAUGCCAUGCAUAUUGCUAAGGUGGUGUAUUUUCUUUAUACAGACUUGUAAUGUAAGAAAGGGAAAUGGCAGUGUAGGGGUUUUCCCCAUUUAUGUCAGGGUAUAGUAUAAGGAGUUGAUACUGAUUUAUGAGUCUCACAGAGCUUGAAACUUGACUUUCCAGAACUUGUUCCUCUGAGGCAAUACAGUUAGCAGCUCUCUAAAUGGAACUAGUAGCUCAGUACAUUUCAGUGAGUGGUGAUAAAGACUAAAGAUCCCGAAUGUAAGAUUGGCAUCCAUUUCUUGGUGCAAUGAGAUAGAUCCUCUGGGCUUUCGAGGUUUGGAUGAAAAAUGCAAUCCUCUUUUUUAGAAUUUUUAUUUGCGUGGGGCAAGUUUAGUAACAGGGAUCUUGGUGGAUGAAUUAUAUCAGUAGUUUUGAUGUAUAUUCAUUUGAUGUAUUUUCAUUUUUAAAAUAAGGCUACAAAAUCUGUAACUUUAUUGUUUUGAACAAUUUGAAAUGAAUUUUCAAAAAAAAACCCCAAACAUUUCAUAUUCAGAAUGAAAAGUAGGUGUGUUCUAGAUUUUCUUAUAUGAUGAGAUAGAAUAAAUACCAGGAUGUGGAUGAAAUGUGUAAGUGAAUAAUCACCCUGCAUGCCAAUCCUGCUAAGUGACUUCACCUUAUGAUGAAUGAUAUGGAAGAUGAUGAGACUCAGCAUUAGUCUGGAUAUGCCUGUAAGUGCUGUUUAUCUCCAUUAACUAUCUAUUAAUUAAUUUAAUGUACAACUUUGAGAUAGUCACUUUUAGGAAACUCGUCCUUACAGGAUAGUGAAGACACUUUCUGUGCUGCUUAUUUUUACAUCUUUCCUGGUCUUUACAAGAUUGGACAAUGUCUGGUGAAUUCAUUGAAAUGUUGAUUACACUGUCAUUAUGUGUCCUCUAGAGUUUUUUUGCAGGAGAAGAAUGAGAUGAUCAAUGUGAAGUACUGUGAAUAGAUUUAACUAGAUUGCAACAUGGCACUUUUACUGGAGGAGGAGAUUCCAUUUAAAAAUAUACUAUCAAAUGUGUUCUUCUUAAAUGCUGAACUGAUGAUUCUUUUUAUUUGGCUUUUCUUUCUUGAAUGUGCCAUUUAGAAAAUUAGCAGAGAUCUGUUCGCUGGAACUGUGGGUUUGUCUGACAGUGAGCACUCAACGCGUUUUAGUGUUUUUUAUAUUCUUCAAGGUUUUUCUUCCUUCAUUGGUUGAUACUUCUGUAUUUUGACUGUCCAUCUUUUAUAAAACAUCCUUUUUAUGAAAAGAAAUUAAGAAUUCAGAAUCACAGCCUGUAAAAGCAAUUUGAACUGGAUGGAAAAGUUUUCAUGAAAAAUCUUUGCAUUAACUUUCUAGUCCAGCACUCCAGACUCUUGUAGUUGUUCCCUAGUUGCCUUGUAGCUCUGUUCUUGUACGCUGUCUGAUAGCACCUUGGGUACUGCUUAAUUGCCAUGCAGAUGAGGAGAGAGGCUUUUCGUAGACAGUAUGCUUCCCUUAAGACAGGAGCAUAUAUCUUCAAGCAUCUAAGAUAAAGAAAAAUAAUUACUAGGUAUACCUGUUUAUACAGCAAAUAAAAAUAAAAAUAUUUAAAACAAUCAGUUGUAGUGUCAUCUCUGGGAACAAAAAAGCACCCAAGACUUGUCACAACUUGUCACAAUAAUUGCAUAUUUUAGAGGAGAUAGAAGUUGCUGGAAUUAUUAUGAGAGUUUUAUGUCUUAGUGCCUGAUCUUUGUUUACUCGACAUCUGGAGUAUUUCCCUGUAGUCUCUGGCUUCAUCAGAAUUUAUAGAGAUGUAAAAACUAAAUUUGACUUUAGAACUUUUAUAUUUAAACCUUCUUAAUUCUCUUACACUGUUGCUUCUCCUAAAUAUGCAAAUCUUUUCAGCUUCCAGGAUUUGUGAAUUCCUUCAGAAAAGGCCCUUAGUGUGUGAUAAUUAUGUAUGUAUUUUAUUAUCUAAUUGAAUAGCUAUAUUUGGAAUUACUUAUCCAUUGCACUGAGAUCUUUUCAGUCUGAUCUGGACAUCAGUUUAAACGAGCUUCCAUAACAAACUUGUAGUGACUUGGAUGAGAGUCAGUCGUUCUGAGUUCUGGAUGAACUCAGUCUCUCAGUAGGUAGAUGCUUCUGUUAAAUGUGGAUAAAAAGGAGGUGAAGGUUGCACUUUGCAGUCAUGUGAGUAAGAAAUGGUGACAUUAUUAAAGAUUUUCAUAUAUUAGGUAUGAAGCUCUUAGAAACAGUACCAAAACCACAGAAAUAUUAGGGAUGGUGUAUUUUUAAAAAGCUGUGCAGUUUAUGUACUCUUAAGCAGGUUUUUCAGCAUCAUGAAUGUUAGUGGUAUGGACGGCACCUGAGGCUUAGUAAAAAAAUUCCACUUUCACCCUUCAUUUUAAAAUAUAUAUUAAAUGUAUUUUAAAAAAAUGGUAAGCUAAUAAUACUGUGGUCUGGAUAAAGUAUUAUCAACACCAGAAAUAUUAGUAGAAACAUUUUUAUUUCUAAAGACUGUAAUUUCAGCUGGAGCAUCAGGUAUCUUGGUUACUGUGUUGGAGCUGCAAGUGUUGGUUCAUUACCAUCAUAAUAAGGAGGGCACUUGCACUGUAGAACACCACUUAAAAAUGCCAUUUAUUGGAGCUAAGACUAUAAAGGUAUUUUGAAAUUUUACAAGAUUUUCUUAAAAAAACUCUAUUCUAUUAAUGAAUUCCACUGUCAAAAAAAAAAAAAAAAAAAAAAAAGUGAUGUUCACAUGAGAACUUCUUCCUGCCUUUUUGCCUAAAUACAAUCCCCAUACUGAGUAGCUGCUCACAGGCUCCUGUGUCAUUGUGGGUAGUCUAUGGUUCUCCAGGGGAUACACACAGCACAGCACAGCACAGCACAGCACAGCACAGCACAGCACAGCACAUGUGUGAUGUGACAGGUGUGAUGUGACAUAAGUCUAGCAAAGAGCAACACAUGCAUCACCUGCUCAGGUUAACUGCUCUGUGGAUCACUAACUCCUUAAUUUACACUGGUCUUCUGGUUACAAUCACUAGAGGUACAGUUCUGGAAUUUUAGAGAACUCACUUGGUGUGGUCAUAAUAUAAAGAAAAAUCAUAUUAUAUUGUAGAAGUGGUUAAUACUAUUUUUUUAUGCUCAGUUUGAGAUUCAAUUUUAAUCUUUCUGAUAAGGUCUGGACUAUGAUAAUACUUUAGUCAUGUUCUGUCUGAAGAUGACUUUGUCAUUAACUCAUUUUUAAAGGUGGAAACAAAUGUCAGCAUGUUAUGUAACAAUAUAUGGUUCCGUUUGUUUAAUUUGUUGGGGUUUUACUGUUUUUUGGUGACUUGAGGACAAAGAUCUUCAUCUUCAAAUGUAUCUGAUGGUUUCAAAGGAUCAGGGUCCACACUUUCUGCAUGGUAACUUCUAAAUUGGAAGUAGAGGACUUGCAUCUGUCAAACUAUAUGUAAGUGAAAUACAUGGGAUGCAUUUGCACUUUUUUCUCUUUUUAAAAGGUAACAUUUGCUUAUGCUAGUGAGCCACAGAAUUAUGCAGCACCUAAAAUUACAGGCUGUUGGGAGAAAGCUGUACUGGUGUCCCACCUCUUAAGGGUUCUUGGAGACACAAGCAUUCAGUUCCUUCCUAUGCUUUGAAAGAGGAACUGGAUUUGAAGUUCCUCCAUUUUAAGUUCUUUACCUGAUUGUUUAUGCAGUCAUUCACCCCUCGGACUUUCUGUUGGUGUACAGUGUUCAUAGUUGCUGUUAGCAUCCAGUUAGUCUGUAGUGUUAUUCUGUAUGGCUCAUGUGGCUUUCCUUUAUUUGCUCUUUUGGUUUCUGUUCUGGAAGGCCUCACAGUUUCCUAUUCUGAAAACAACCAAAGAACUAAACUGUGACUACUUUUGGAUCUGGAAAAUUUGUAGACAUCAAAACAUUUAAAUGUCUAAUUUAAGACAUUUCCCUAGACUUUCUUCAGAGUCAAUAAAAAAGAAGAGGCAGACCCAGCUCUGAUCGAUCCUGUUAUUUUGUGCAUAUAUCUUAUGACAGAAUGGUUUGUUGGUGAUGGUGGCCCCUGACUGAACCAUGAUGACUAAUGUCAGAUAAAUGUCUUUUAGACUGCUAAAGAAGCCACAGUUAAGUCUCACCUAAAUGUUUUACUGAAGGGAAUUGAAAAACCUAUGGUGAAGAAAGUGUUGACAGUCUGCAUUCUUAGCUGUUUUACUGAUAGCUUGGAAAACAUUUUUUAAUUGUGCGUCUACCCAACCAUCCUACCUACUCCUUUUCGAUAGUUGAAUUUUGGUAUAUGACACAGAAGAUUUCAUCUGUCUUAUUCAUUUCACAUUCUGUUAGUUUCUUUUAUAUAAUUAAAACUUCUUGGCCAUGACCUUUCAUCAAAAGAAGACUAAUCACUUGAAAAAUAUUCUUUGAAUGCCUGAAAAAAACCUACUAUGAAUGUGCAUGACAAUAAUUAAAUAUGUUUUGCAAAAGGAGGCAGAGAGCAGGGCAUAUACAAGGAAUUUGUGACUAAUUGUACAGUUUAUUCUGUAAAUGUAUAGAAAAUAAAAUGUUUGUGCUGUACUGAAGUACUCAAGCACUAGAAUAUUAAUCUGAUGAACAGAUCUUUCAGGGAGACAGCAAAAACAUCUUUGAGUCUAAACAAAAUGCAUGAAUCAUUCUUUAAAAUGCAAGUAAAAAAAGAUAGUAUUAGUAUUGUCCCACUUUUCUUUGCAGAGGAUUCGCUUUAGUGCUUCAAGUUGGUCAGUCCUCUGAUGAUCCCCACAAGGUACAGUUUAAUAUGCAUAUAAUUGCUUUUUAGACUAAUUUUUUUUUUCAGUUAAGCCUAUUAUUCUUUUACUAUUUUACUACUAUUCUUUUACUCUGCGCUGUGCAGCUUCUACAGGUAUUUCCAUGGAGGCCCUGUUUCCAAAGUCUGGAAGUGAAAACAUUCAUACUAAAAACAAGCCAAAAAUGUAAGUUAACAGUGAGGCUAAGAAAUUUUAGUUUGAGCUACUCUUCUCAGUGCAUAUAAUUUUGGACAUUAGGAAUAAUUUGUUCACAGAAUGGGCUGCCAGGGAUGUGAUAGAGCAAUUUUUCCUGGAGGUGCUUAAGAAAGGACUGGAUGUGGCACUUAGUACAGUGGUCUACUUGACAAGCUGGUAUUAGAUCAUAGGUAGGACUUGAUGAUCUCAAAGCUCUUUUCCAACCUAACUGAUUCUUUGAUAAUGGCAGUAAUAAUGCAAGAAUAUUCCAAUUUCACGUAGUUUUUCAGAAUACAUCUCAUUUCAUUGGCAUAUGGGUAUGGUCUGUUUAACAUACAACUAGAUCUUUGAAUAUAUUUUGUUAUUGGAUACCUCCUAAUAACUGAAAUAUUCUCCAAGAGAAAAUAUCAAGCUCUCCAUAGAAUUUCAUUCAAUACUCUGAAGAUCUGAAAGGUCAAGGUUCAUCCAGUAGGCUCCUAAAUCAGUUGUGUGAAUUAGAAGUGCAGUUAUGCUCUAGAUUUUUGGAAUCUUAACUUUUCCAUCUCACACAAGAUUAUCUGUCAUUAAACAGCUACAUAUUCCUCCCACUGUAUCCAUAUUUAUCUGUUGAUCAGAACAUGUUUGCUAGUUUGAGCCAUUAAAUUAUCUGCAGUAGGUCUCAGUGGUCUAUUUUCAACAGUAAUUUAAACUUCAUGAUAGCAGAGGCUCUUUCAGACCUGCUGUGUACACCACUAGUGUCUUGCAAGAGGAAUGUGUUACUAUGUUAUGAUUUAUUUGGAACAGCAAGUAAAUCAGAGAUUAAGGGUCUGGCUUAAUCAUUUCAGAUUGCAGCUACAAAAGAAGUAGCAAGAGAGUGGAAGAGGAAGGUUGACUCAAACAUAUUCUGUAUAGAGCAUUUAUUAAAUGUGGUAUUCUGUAUUUUUUCUCUUGGUUCCUUUGGAAAACACUCUCCUUAUCCUUAUUUGGAGAUGAGAGGGAUUAGUACACUAUCUUCUCAUGUUAAAUAGGCCAUAGAAUGUCACCCUCUGUACUGAACAUAGUGUCUGUUUGCUGGAUUUUUCAGAUUUUGCUGAAAUCUGAUAUCAGUAAUCUAACUUGCACAUCUCUAAAUGAGAAAUUUUAUUAACCUUGAUAACUGACUUAUUUCCUUCUUCAAAGAAACAGGAUAAAUAGGUGUAACAACAGAUGUUUUUAAAAACACUUUAUCUUAGUUUCAAUUAGUUCCUCAGUGAUUAUACAAAUAUAUCAAAAUUUAAGGUGCAUGUCUUCAGAUCAAAAUUUUUGGAAAAUAUUCCUGAUUUGGCUUAAAAGAGAAAUGAUUUUAAAUAUUAUGAUAUACAGUAAUAUAAUAUAAUAUAUAGCAAUAUAUAGUAAUACAUUAUAGUAUUACUCUAGAUAUGUAUUUUAAAUUAUCCAAAUAUUUAAACUCCUUCAUUCAAAUUUUUAUUUGAAUAUGAUUAUAAAUUUUACAUGAUAUCCUUUUCCCUUCAGCAGAAAUAAAAAAAAACCUUACAUAUCAAAAGAUUAUGGAAAUAAGCUUCCUGAAUUCUCAUAAUAACAUUGAGCAUUUAUGAUGAUGAAGAAAGACUCUUUGGUGUGUAAAAAAACCUCAAACCAAACCAAUCAACAAAACCUGGACCAAAGGAUUGGUGAGGAGACAGUAAAGAAAGAAGAAAAUUAGUUCUUUACAAAUUAUCAUUGGACAUGGCAAUAACAAUGAAUGUUAUCAAAUUACAAGGUAAUCAAUCAGAUUCAUAUAAUUUCUCAAAAUGUUUCAGAGGAUGAAAUCAGUCUUUUGAUGAAACUGGAGUUUUGCUAAUACUGCCUUUUUGACAGACAACACGAGUGUAGACCAGCAGGAGAAGAUGCUGAGGUAUUGUAAAUCUGCUAAGUGCAUAUUCAGAUAGAAAAGCUAAAGAAAAGGACUGCUCCACUUAAGAUGAUUGGGGGAAUGGUGUGGAGAAUAAGGGAAUGGAGACAUUUAGAAACUACCUGCCAUCUGCCUCAGACUAUCCCAGAGCCUAUUCUUCCUAAUUUGUGGCCUUGUGCAUUGCAGAUACUUCAGCAGCUGGGAAGAGCAAAGAAGAACAUGGACUCGACCUUUCUCGACAGUAUUUCAAGGUGUUAUUGGUGUAGUAUGAAAUGCAUAGAUGAAGAAAAGCACCCAAACUUAAAAGCUUUUUAGUGUGAAAAUAUUUUGAAUGCCCACAGUUGAAUGUAUCAUUUAUGGCAUGAAGAGUGGCGAUUAAGGAAACCUCGAUACAAUUUUGCAGGCAUUUUGCAAACAUCUUGUCCAAGCAGAAAUGAGGAUGAAAGAAGACAGCAAUUAGACAAAAGUGCUCCAUUUAAAUGGCUACAGACCUUUGCUGGGGAUUCGUUUUUGCUGACACCAACAUAGCUGUUCACCAUUCACAUCAUUCUAAUCAAACUUUGAAGAUUCCAGAGAUUUGAAUGAUUUUGAUGUACUGGUAGUUAUAGUUAUAAUAAUUAUGUAUAUGGAUAAUUUAAUAAAAA